AUCUUUUUGGUGUAAAGCACGAAAGGUUUUGAGCCUUUAGGAGGGAAAUCCCAAAAGAUU
rnacentral:tRNA from 1 species